UACUAUCUACUCUACGUCUCUACCUGUAUUUUCUUCUUUACCUUCGUCCCCAACAGCUUCCCAAAAUCAAUUAACUCUCGGUUCUUUCUUCGUCCCCAACAACUCCCAAAAAUCAAUUAACUCUCAGUUUUUCCGAUUCGAUUGAAUUCGGAGUUUCAAGUUUACCGCGAUUUCAAUUGAAAUCAGUAUUCUUUAAAUUCCAAAUACUGAUUUUUUUUUUACAUUCUGUUUUUCCGACGGGCGAAAGCUUCUCACCAGAUUACUCUGCUACAUGCCGAGGUAAUUCAAACAAAAUAUUCAUCCGGUCAAUGGAUUUAAUUCUUCACCACUUAAAUUAAUAAUUUUAAUUUUGUUAGGGUUUGUUUUGACUCUAAUCUCUAUUGAAUGUUGUUUAUGGUUUCGAUAUUACUCUUGAAAGGCUGGAAUUGAGUUUGGUUUCAAUGUUUUAUUUAUUCAUGUACCCAUGAACGGUGGCACAGUACCACAGAUCAAAAUUUUGGGAUUGAACCUGUUUGUCCAAAUGCCCAUUAGAUAAAUCUGGAAAUGAUAGCAACUCAUGACUAUAAAGCUAACAAGUAGAAGCUAGCUAACUCAAGAAACUUAGAAAAUAGCAGGAAACUGGCUAACUAAGUAUUGAUAUUUAAUGUUAAAGAUACCGAAGGAACAACAUAUGUUCAUACUGGUGUGGAUCUGUUAUAGUUGUUGUCACUGUAUGUAUAACCCUCAAAAGAGGAUGGUCUAUUUCAUGCAGUAUUAGUAUUCGCUAUUCAGUCAUAGAAUGAAAGAUAGGUUCACCCUAGGAAGGGAAUCACUAUUCUUUGGUUUGAUAUUAGUUCACAACUUUUCUAGUAAGUUUACGGAAAAAUAUCCUAUGGUUUUGUAUUUGCUCUUAUAGUUUUGUAGUUCAUAAAUGGUUCCUUUUAACAAGAUGUCUUCAUGCUUCAUUAACUCUUCCUGCUGAAAAUUUUCGGAUUCAAUAGAUAGAUCCUUUUAGUUACUCUCCGAUGGGACCUCAAGUUAAUAAAAGGUGGGUGUAUUUGGCUCCCAACUCCCUGAAUUCACAACUUAGGUUCAAUGUAUUUGUUUUGUGUGUGCAUGGUAUUCUUCUGAAUUUACUUUAUGAUGUAAAUAUUUGGUCAUGGAAACACCGAGAGCUCAAAUGAAUUACUGAUUGAAUAAACAGUGCAAAAUAGAAAAAAAAGACAUACUACAGUUGAUGGGUCGAAUUUGCUGGAAAAAUCUAAUGCUAUGAUCUCAUCAUUUACGCAGCAACAUGUUAUUAUUCUAUCAUUUGUCAGUUCAUCUAUUUGUCACCUUACAUUUUAUUGUCAUUCUCUUAAAUAUUUAGCAAUGGUCGUUAGAGCCCUAAAAUCAUCGAGCAACCAAUCAAAUCUCUGUAAAAUCCCUUGACUUAUUAGGAAUGGUUACUUUAAAUUGAGAAGUUGUUGAAUGAAUAGAUUGAUUCCUAGAUUGACUGUGAAGCAAGUGAACAUAGUUAAAUUUCCUCUCCUUUUUUUUGAAUUGUUCGUGCAUCAUACCUGCAGCUAUAUAUCAUGUAAACAAAAUAAAAUGCACACAAAAACAUUAUGUGUGCAAAUGGAUAUUUUUGGUUGAAAAAUUAUUGAACGAAAGUUUUGCGUUAUGUUCUAAGUAUUAUGGAACAAGGGAAUAAAGUGAAAUAUCAUUUUGUUCUAAACAGGAAGGUUAUAUUUUACAUGAAUGUAGCAGCUGGCCCAAUGCACAAAAUGGAAUGGCAGGCGCAUCGUGUGUGCGUCUUUGCUGUUGCACGGUUUAAAGAUUAAUUAUUGAUUAAUUGCAUGAUAUUACGAAAUGGUUUUGGAUUAAAUGUUUGUUUAUAGAUAUGUUUUGCAUUCAAGAAAAGUUACUAUUUAUAACAUUUACACUAGCACAAUCGCCAGUGCGACCACAAAAGGACCCGUCAAAGUUAAAAAUUUUUAUAAUAAUGAUGGCACGGGUUAUCCACUAGUAUAUAAGAAAUUAAAUUGCUAAAUAUUGUCAGACAUGUUUCACUUAUAGCUGGUUUUAUUUGUGAUUUAUGUAAUUAUUCCUAGUAGUUAUCUCUUUUAGUUCCUGUUGUGAAUUGAGAUGUAUAACAAUUAUUAAUGGUUGUUUUAAGUGAGUUUAUUACUGAAAUACCACCACCUAUGUAGUUUUCAUCGAAGUAAGCUCCUGUUCCAUUCCCAUUAUCCUCUUUGUUUGAACUAGUACUACCACUAUUUUGUUUGAUAUCCUUGUUCUCUAAAUCAAGGUCACUACUAGAUGACCUAGAAGAAGAUGAUGUGGAAAGAUGGAUUAGGUAUCCAUCUUACUUUGAAUAGAGAACUUGGAUAAUUGGCUGUGUGUUGUUAUAAGAGAAUCAACAUCCUACAUAGUUUUAUAGUAGUGGUAGUGAACAACAAUGAAGGUUACUGGAAAAAAGUUGAAAAUAGAUAGGAGGAGCGGAUUAUGAGUUGGACACAGUUGGUAGACUUUUACUUGCUCAUCCUCCCAAUACACAUCUAUGUGUUUGGUUGAUAGUGAUAGUAAUCCUUAAGCCAGUUGUUUUGUUUACUUGUAGUCUUGGAUAACUUAUUACCUUUGGCUAGCGAUUGGUUGACCAUGACCCCCAUACAAUUUUUACAACUUUUCUUGUUCAUAAGAAUUAUAACCACUUAAAAGAAUUUUUCGAGGAAAUGUCAAAAUGACAGGACAUUACCCUCUAUAGCAAUGCCAAGUACAUCCUAAUAACACCACAAGGCUAGUUCCUUAUCUCAAGGUGUGGAUAUUUUUACUUCUGUUUACUUUGUUAUUCUCAAGGAGGCGCAUACCAAUCACUCAUUUAUCAUCAAUUUACUGUUUGUGCUAGUUAGAAUCUAUGGUCGACUGUUUCUAUCUCAUAAAGUGAGAAAGAAAUAAAGGAACAUUUUUUUUCUUCCAAAUAUGGAAGAGAGAAUGAAUUUGGUUACUAGGAUCCUUUUGCAUUGCAGAAGAUUCUUCAUUUCUUCGACUACUGCUUGUGUAACUAAUUUUUAUGAGUUGUUCUUGUAUAUGUAUAUGAAUUUCUGAACUUAGGUGUGACUCCUAAUGAAUUUGAUAAUUCAGUUAUCUAGGAGUUUGGUAGUGCAUUGUUUUUAUACGGAAUAUUUGGUUUUGUUGUGCUUAUGAUUUUGGGUGAAUUAACUUCUGUGUUUUAGCUGCAGCGAGGUGGUGAGGCUAUCAAUUGAAUUGCGCAAUUGCUAAUUCAUAAGUAGAAGUCUGUUGUGUAUGCCAACACUGUUAGUGUUUCAUCAUUUGCAAGUGGUGGUAAAGAUGGUAUUAAGUUUUUGGUAAAAACUUGUAUAUACAGUAGAAAUUCUAUAAAUUAAUGCUGUCGAGACCAUCAAAAUUUAUUAAUUAAGCGAGAUAUUAAUUGACCGAUAAAUUAAUAACUAUUAAUUUAUAUAUUAAUUAAUAGUUUAUUAACUUAUAGAUGAAUUUCAUAUCAAAUAAUCAGUUUUUAUGCAUACCCAUAUCAUAUCUUUUAUAUAUACUAUAUCAAUAUCAAAUCAUAUUUUUAUAAACACAAUAUCCAAUCAUAUUUUUUAUUUCCUAUCUAAACACAACUUUAGACAAUUUGGAUGAACAUACAGACAGUGAAAUCACUCAAGACUUGCAAAAUUUGAUCGAGAAGUUAGGCUAUCGCAAUUCAAUGAAUGUCGAAGAUGUCGUAAAUUAUCCGGAAGAAAAUGACGUUACACAGUUGUUAACCGAUGAAGAAAUAAUCGAGAAUGUUAUGGGAACUGAUAAAGAUGUGGUAGAAGAUGAUGAAAGUUCUGGGAUAGAGCCCCCUUCACGAAACAACGCUAUUAAAGAGGUUGUACUAUCCGUGCUCUGUGCUGCUAUUAAGAAAUGUGUUAAGAUUUGGCAUCUUGAGAGUAAGAUUGUCGCUCGGUAUCUGAAGCUUGAAUCCGAGGCAUGAAAGAUUAAGUAAUUUAUAGGCGAAAAAUGGUGACAUGGACCCCACAAGAGGAAGAAAACUUGAGAAAAGGAGUUCAUAUGUAUGGGGAGUCAAAUUGGGAUGAUAUCUUGAAAGAUCCUCUCCUCGGCCUUCAAGGGCGUACCCCGAACAUCCGAAAGAAAUGGUCUGAGAUGAAAAAGAAAGCCAAGCAAAAAUCAACAUCAACACCGGCACCAAUAUUAACACCAACACCAAUCUAAGACUAAGACACUUUAUAACAAGAUAUUAUCUGAUUUUGCUUCUCUUUGUUGUUGAGGAUGAUGAUACCAUAUCAUAUUUAUUUUUCUUCUUAGUGGUUAACCUGUACUUUGUGAUACUUAUGCAGAAAUCCAAUUCUAGAAGGAAUCGAAGUCAGGCCUAUGAAGCUCUAUGCAUGAAAGAACGUGAAAAUGUACUAGAGUUGAAGGAACUAGUUUCCCGGCAGAAUAAAACUGCGGAAGAGCAACAAUCUCUGCUGCAGGAGAAAGACAUCAAAGGCCAACCAAUACCAACGCGAGCUAUCUAACUCACUAUGGAAUCAAAUAUGGAGUCAACGCAAGUGAGGUCAUUUGGAGGCCGUCCGGAGAAGUUAUCAGCAAAACGAGUUAAUCUUCCAUGAUGGAUAAGUAUAUUUCCAUUCGCGGAUUUUAAGUGUUUUAGGCUUCACAAAUUCCCUUCUAAGUGCUGCAGUCAAGAGUUUGUCGCCUUCGAGAGGAGGUUUUGAAAGAGUAGUAGCAUGUGUCUUUCCUUGCUUGACCUUUGGAGCCUAAAGCGUAGCACAAAUCAAUUCAAGUUUGCAUAUACAAACUAAAAAUUCAGAAACAGUGACAAAAUAUUAUAAUUUGUCGCCAAGGUCCAUAACCGAACAUAAUGACGACUAACUAUCUUAUAGACUUGGUCGUCACAGUUAUAGUUUUCCAAGCAUGACGAUUAUUAGCAAAAAUUAACACAUUAAA